GACGAACGCUGACGGUGUGCUUUAGACAUGCAAGUCGAGCGAGAAAGCCCUUCGGGGUUAGUAAAGCGGCGAACGGGUGAGUAACACGUGGGCAAUCUGCCCCUCGCAGGGGGACAACCGGGGGAAACUCCGGCUAAUACCCCGUAAGCUAUGUGGAUCGCAUGGUUCACAUAGGAAAGGUAGCUUCGGCCAUCCGGCGAGGGAUGAGCCCGCGGUACAUUAGCUAGUUGGUGGGGUAACGGCCUACCAAGGCGGCGAUGUAUAGCUGGUCUGAGAGGAUGAUCAGCCACACUGGGACUGAGACACGGCCCAGACUCCUACGGGAGGCAGCAGUCGGGAAUCUUGCACAAUGGGCGAAAGCCUGAUGCAGCAACACCGUGUGAGCGAUGAAGGCCCUAGGGUCGUAAAGCUCUGUUGUUGGGGACGAAGGGCGAAGGGUUAAU
rnacentral:rRNA from 1 species